UAGCUAAUUAAUUUAAAAUAAAAUAUUUACCUUGAAAGUAAAAAAUAGAAAGUCUAUUAGCU
rnacentral:tRNA from 1 species